rnacentral:rRNA from 1 species
UACGAAGGGGGCUAGCGUUGUUCGGAAUUACUGGGCGUAAAGCGCACGUAGGCGGACUAUUAAGUCAGGGGUGAAAUCCCGGAGCUCAACUCCGGAACUGCCUUUGAUACUGACAAUCUCGAGUCCGAUAGAGGUGGGUGGAAUUCCUAGUGUAGAGGUGAAAUUCGUAGAUAUUAGGAAGAACACCGGUGGCGAAGGCGGCCCACUGGAUCGGUACUGACGCUGAGGUGCGAAAGCGUGGGGAGCAAACAGG